AGCGAACGCUGGCGGCAGGCCUAACACAUGCAAGUCGAACGAAGUCUUCGGACUUAGUGGCGGACGGGUGAGUAACACGUGGGAACGUGCCUUUAGGUUCGGAAUAACUCAGGGAAACUUGUGCUAAUACCGAAUGUGCCCUUCGGGGGAAAGAUUUAUCGCCUUUAGAGCGGCCCGCGUCUGAUUAGCUAGUUGGUGAGGUAAAGGCUCCCCAAGGCUACGAUCAGUAGCUGGUCUGAGAGGAUGAACAGCCACAUUGGGACUGAGACACGGCCCAAACUCCUACGGGAGGCAGCAGUGGGGAAUCUUGCGCAAUGGGCGAAAGCCUGACGCAGCCAUGCCGCGUGGAUGAUGAAGGUCUUAGGAUUGUAAAAUCCUUUCACCGGUGAAGAUAAUGACUGUAGCCGGAGAAGAAGCCCCGGCUAACUUCGUGCCAGCCGCCGCUGUAACAC
rnacentral:rRNA from 1 species